rnacentral:lncRNA from 1 species
CAGUUAUCUUCACAGAGUGUCCCAACAAUUCAGGUCCAUCAACAUGAGACUUUGCCCAGCUCAAAGGGAGUUGGUACUGUCCUUGAUACAGAUACUGGCUGAUCAGCCCUUUUCUCUGGCCCUUGCCUAUCCAGUAAUGAGGCUCUGCUGUCAGUCAGCAAUGGUCCUUUGACUGGAAAAAAUAUUAUACAGUAGUGCCUCACUAGACAGUUACCCCGUAUGACAGUUUUUUCGCUAGAGACUUUUUGCAAUCGCUAUAGCAAUUCGCAAAACAGUGAUUCCUAUGGGGGAAUUUCACUGGGCAGUGUUUGGUCCCUGCUUCACAAAUCGAUUUUCACUAGACGAUGAUUUUGACAGUUCCCUCCGCACUUGCAAAACUGUGUUUUCGGGACCUAAGCUUCGCAAGACAGCGAUGUAAACAGCUGAUCGGCGGUUCGCAAAGCGGCUUUCCUAUGGCCGAUCUUCGCUAGACAACAGCAAUUCUUCCCCAUUGGAACGCAUUAAACAGGUUUCAAUGCAUUCCAAUGGGACAAUGCUUUUCGCUAGACGAUGAUUUCGCUAAACAGCAAUUUCAGUGGAAUGGAUUAUCAUUGUCUAGUGAGGCACCACUGUACAGCCUUCCUGGUGCCUUCAGGUGGCGGCAGCAGCAGCAGCAGCAGCAACAGCAGCAGCAGCUCCUCUCUAGGGCAUCAACCCAGGUUUCUUCUUCUGUUGGCCAGCAGCCUCCCAGAGCUCUCUCUGCACUCGUUUUCAUCUUACUCCUGGCUGCCUCCGGCAGGUGUUCCUCAUUAGGUUGCUGCACCUUCCCCAGCUGCCUUCUCUCCCUCUUUCCCCAGGUCUUAGCUUUUUUUCCCUGGCCGAUCUCUCUCUCUCAGCCAUCUUAAAGGGGCAUGAGGGCUCACCAUGAGCCUGCCAGCUACCUGGGAUGCUCACCUUGUCACAUCUCUACUGACAGACAGGCCAUGACACUUGAGAAACACAGAGACCUCUCUGUGCUUAAGGCAACAUGGAAACAGAAAGAGGACUCCAGGAAAACACAGUUGCAGGUGGCAGAAGAAAUUGCACUGCUACUUCCUGAAGGCAAUAAAGGAGUCGUGAGGAGGGCCUUUCCAGCUCUCUUCCACUUUGAACCAGGAUCCAGCUCCACUGAGCCCAUUGGGGCAAACAAUGCACAUCAGCUGAGGAACUUCCCAAUAUCUUCUGCUGCUCGUGGCACAGGGAAAGCGGAGGCUGACAGAAACCACUUCCUGUUACUGCUGCCACUCCAGGGGGUCUAGGGCCCUUUGCAUGGCAGUAUUAGGAACCCUCCGUGGAGCCCAUUCUUUGCUGCAGCAUGGAAAAGGCCAGAGUUUGCAGAAGACUGUUUCAUCAGAACUGCCCUGUCAGGGCAUCCAUAGAGCUUUAGAAUGGGAGCAUCAGGAAUGAGGUAUCUGUCUAUCCCAAUCUGAACAUUGCUGGGCAGAGGGGUUUAAAUCAGUGGUUCUUGACCUUGGGUGACUCAGGUGUUUUUGAACUGCAACUCCCAGAAACCCCAGCCAGCACAGCUGGUGGUGAAGGCUUCUGGGAGUUGCAGUCCAAAAACACCUGAGCAGCCCAAGGUUAAGAACCACUGGUUUAAAUCUCCAAGUUAAACUCACCAUGUUGGGGAUGAUGCCAGGGCCGCAGCUGAUAUAUAGGGAUCGGCUGAAAGAGGGGCUCAGAAGUGUUGGGAUAGCUGUGAGUGUGAGAGAGAGAGAGAGAGAGAGAGAGAGAGAGAAUGAAUAUGAGACUGUUAGGGGAGAUUGAAUGAUAUCUAUGUAUGUGAGAUACAUUUGUGUGUAUAGGGGAAAGAGAAAUGAGAGGGAAAGAAAGGGUUUUGCAUAAGAGAGGAAGGACAGAAUGGUUUUGAAAUCCUGAUGGAAGUGGAGAUGCACUUUGGACAGUGUCCUAAUCAUUGCUGAUGUGUUUCCUACUCUACCAACACUACCCAGCUUCAGUGAGCUCCAGCCACCUAUGCGUCCAAUAACAUCUGGAAGGUCAAAGUUGCCCACCCCUGCGUCCGAGAUGCCAACGCCCUGGCCUUCUAUGUGAAAAGCAGAUGUUCUCCCUCUAAGGUGUAGUCACACACCCCCAACCUGGACAACUAUCACAAGCAAAACAUCCCAAAGAGCUCAGAGAUUUGAGGUGUGGGAUACAGCUAGUGAUGUCACAAAAGCACCAGUACAACUGCAGUGCAGAGGAAGCCAGUGCUGUUUUGCUUAGCUACAGACGGGAAACAGAGUAGAGUAUUUGUCUAGAUGGGUGAGGUAUAAAUCUAUUUAAAAAAAAAAAAAGAGGAAUAGGAGCAGUGGUCUUAAAUGGAGUCCAAACAAUGGUCCCUGUUGGCCACUGCUGUCAACAUGGGUUGGCUUUUGUCUUCCUGAGAGUUCCAAGCCGGAUUCUUUGCAAGCCCUACCUAGAGACACUGGUGAUCAGAAUGGUAUAGUGGAGCAACUGGGAUAGCAACUUUGCCCCAGGGCACCAGUAUUUAGAAGGCAUCGAAAUCUAGAGGCAAAUCUAAUGGUGAGUGCUAGGAAAAUAAACACCAACUCCCAGGGCCUUUUUGAUUUUUU